CACCUCCUGCUAACCCAUAGGAGGCCUAGCCUGCCCGGUGACAAAGUUUAACGGCCUCGGUACCCUAACCGCGCAAAGGUAGCAUAAUCACUUGUCCUUUAAAUAAGGACUAGUAUCAACGGCAUCACGAGGGCUAGACUGUCUCCCCUUUCUAAUCAGUGAAUCUGACUUCUUCGUGAAGAGGCGAAGAUACACAUAUAAGACGAGAAGACCCCAUGGAGCUUAAAACCAAACAACACUCCUUUAUACACAAACCCUAAAAAAUAAAAGAACUGUUGACUAGUUUUUGGCUGGGGCAUCCGAGGAGUACAAUAUAACCUCCCUGACGAAUAUCUUAGAAUUACAACUCCAAGAAACAGUAAACUGACGUAAUGUGACCCGACAAUCGAUCAACGAACCAAGUUACCCUGGGGAUAACAGCGCAAUCCAUUUCAAGAGCCCCUAUCGACAAAUGGGUUUACGACCUCGAUGUUGGAUCAGGGUACCCCAGUGGUGCAGCCGCUACUAAAGGUU
rnacentral:rRNA from 1 species